CUGCCAUGCACCGGGUCAACGCUUUAAUGGAACUAUUCACCACCACUACCACCCCAAGAUCCCUUUCCCAGGAUCAGUUGAGAGAGAGAGAGACCAAGCCAAGAGAAAUACAUGCAAUGGCUUGGAGAUCAAUGAAGACCUUUUCGUCUCACCAUGCAAGAUUGCUCUGAGCUGCGGCCUGAGGAAUGUGCUGGGCUCCUAGCCAGCGGCUGGGAUUCAGAGACCUGCACAGGGGAAGCAGCAGGAGAGGGCACGAGAUCCUCAGAAAGGUCAGAGAAGAAGGCAGCAUCCCUCUUACCCUUUGCUUGAAGUAGUCCCUCUCCUCUAGCGUUAAUGUGUCUGCUUUGGCGAUGACAGGGACAAUGUUGACCACUUUGCUCAGGCGCCUCAUGAAUUCAAUGUCCAGCGGCCGGAGGCUAAAAGCAAAAUAAAAGGACUUCUUAAAACGAAAAGGAGACCAAGGAUGCUGAGACAUAAGACAUUCCACUUCCCUUCCCAACUGACGGUAGGCCUUUCUAGAAGCACUGAAAUGCCACAAGGAAGCAACUCACUCUGUGCAAUACUCAGGAGGCCAACAGCUGAUCUAGGGUGUGAAGUAGAGGUGGGUGAAGGCUCUGGUCCUCCUGCCCCACCAGCCAGGUAUCCUCUUGCCUCUAACAUGACUAGGUUCUCAAUAGGACAACAGUAACCAAAUGGGGGCUGGAACCACUAUUUGGUCACUGUAAGUUGAUCACUUAGGCUGCUGGUUAUCAAGCAGGCCUUCAUGACCAGGUGAGCCAGACAGUGCCUGUCUGUGAGGAGUACAUUGCAGGGUGGUUUUCCUGGAAGCAUUUGUGGCAAUUGCCACCAACAGAUAUAUGAUGAUUGCAACAGACAAAGAGCAAGUGAGAGCAAACUACACCUGAACACAUUUAAACAUUUUAGACAUAGACAUUGUUGCUAGAUGGACUAGUUGUCCCAGACCAAGACUACAUUGAGGACAAAGGGUUAAAGCCCCUGCCCCCCCCAGUCCCAAUUGGACCCCUCACACCAGCUGUUUACUUUUUUUAAAAAAAAGUGUGUUUUCGCUAAUUUGGCCCUAAAGACAGAUUACAUUUCUCUCCACCUUAUAUUUAGCUAUAAAUCCUGCUAGGGUAUGCACGAUGGAUGUUUCUUGGCCUGUGGAGUCACAGGUUCAAGUCAUUCUCUCAGCCCAGCCUACUCUACAGGGUUACUAAGAGGAAAAAACAGGAUUAACCCCUUUGUAUGCCACUCCAAGUGGCAAGAAUAAAUGCGAUGGACAAACAAACUCUGAGCAUUAUGGGUUAGGAAUUUGCUACAUGCCACAUUCAUUUGCAGAAAAAUAUGGAAGUGGAUUGUUAGCUUUAAUCAUUGCUACAUGGGACAAAUAUGUUGUUUUCUUUGUCUUAUGUGCACCUGCACCACAGGCACAUCUGUCACUUAUGAUUGACGAUACACUGCAUAAGAGCUUUUGGGGGUGCGGGGUGGUCUAUGGGAGUGGCAAUCUAAAUAGGAAAAAUCAACAUGUGUGAAGCACCCUCACUGUGCAGGAAUCAGCAAAAACAGAAGGCCCAAGAAUUUCAGCUCCUAGAAGCCUUCCUAAUUAGGGAUUGUUUUUGCCAACGAACACAAUGCCAAAUGCUUAGCAGACCAAAAGUGCACGCACACACACACACCACCAGCUUUCCAAAAUAUCUUGGCUGGGUCUGCCUGUUUACAGGGAGUAGCCAUUUCAUACCAAUGACCCACAAAAAGAAAGUGUGCUUUGUUUUUUGCAUUAAUCCUGAAAGCAAGUUAAGCAGCUUCAUGGCGCCACAGCACUAUUACUCUGCUCUGCACCCAGCAAGGUAGUCAGGACUGAAUUAAACCUGAGUUUGCAUCAACACUGGUCUAGCUAGGCAAAGGGGCAAAUCCUGGCUGCAGGGGCUAUAAGCUGUUUCCUCUACUAGUCCUACCAGUUUGCCUCCUGGCUGGGGGGGGGGGCAGAUCCAUUCAACCGCCCUCCUCCAGAAAAAAAAAAGAGGAACAUGAGAGUUUUGAUUGGAUUUUUAUUUUUAUCUUUUUGGCCUGCAAGGCUUCUGCACGUGGCCUGGCACACUUUGCCAAGGGAGGGAAAAGCCGCUAGCAGAAGAACAGAGCCUGUUAGAAUGAAGAGCUCAAGGAGACGAUGACAGUACUGAACAUCUUCUACAUGCACACACACACACGGAUGACAAGCAGAGAAGCCAGAGAAUUGUGAGCGCCUGGAAAAGAGUGCUCCACAGUAGAGUUGGGUAGGUGAGUAUGAAGGUCCCAGUGUCAGCCUGCCACAUGAGGGCAAGUGUGGGAUACCAGAGAGGAGGCUGCUUGCUGAGGAGAUGCACCCAAUUUAGAGACCUCGGGCCAUUUAAAAUGGGCCUUAGGUACCUGAAAGGAUUCUGCUGGUUGUUUCAUCACAGGAUUUUGUAUUUUAUGCUAAAUGUCACAGUGCACCCUGAGUAUUCCGAGGGUGAAAGGUGGGUUGUAAAUCUUCUAAAUAAGUACUGCUAGUAUUUGUUUUUAACCUCAUCACCAUGAUGAAAAAGACUCACAAUGCAUCCUUUUAUUUAUGCAUGUUAUGUAGCAGGAAAACUCAGGGGAUGUGUGAGUGCGAACACAGAAGGUAGAACAGUAGAGUGUUCUGCAGGGUUGGGCAGGGUCUACCAAAGCUAUUAUCUUCCAAGCAAGUGGUGCUGCCACUUGUACAGGCCACUCUCUCAUAAAAAUGGUGCAGAAGCAGCUAAGUUGUUAACUAUGAGUGGGGUUCACCCAACACACCCCAUAAGCAGAAGCCCUGUGCAAAGCUUUGACUUAACACACUGGGGGCUUUCCCCUCUCUUUUUUCUCUUUGCAUGCCCCCCAAAUGCCUUGGGAGGUCAGGAAAACCCACAGAAUAGUGCACAGGGGAUCACUUCAUCAAGCAAGCUGACACACAUGUGCAGAAGGAACAGUCCACACAUCAUGGCAUUGAAUUCUCCCUAUUGUGACUGUAUUCAGCAUGACUUAGUCCUGUAUUUAAAAGCAGGCAGUGUCUGAAAACAUGUCGCACCAUCCACCAAAAGGCACAACACAAGCUGUCCUCCAGACAUAGAAUCAAGCCCUUUACCACAUAGUGAAGUUAUGAGCACAGAGGAUGAUAAGAAGUUCCUGUACAUCAUGGUACUGUUUCUCAAAUCAGCAUCCACAUCAGGAAAUCACAGAGUCAACUCAGCCUCUACAGUCUGACGUGGAGCUUGUAACACAAACACAUGGUGGCCUAGUUUGGAUGACACACUUAAGUCAGCAGAUGGUUAGGUUCUCUAACCAUCAAGUAGUAUAUAAAUUUUGUUAAAUAAAUAAAUAAAAACCUGA